rnacentral:rRNA from 1 species
UACGUAUGGAGCAAGCGUUAUCCGGAUUUACUGGGUGUAAAGGGAGAGUAGGUGGCAGAGCAAGUCCGAAGUGAAAACCCAAAGCUCAACUAUGGGAAUGCUUUAGAAACUGCUCAGCUAGAGUGCAGGAGAGGCAAGUGGAAUUCUUAGUGUAGCGGUGAAAUGCGUAGAUAUCAGGAGGAACACCGGUGGCGAAGGCGGAUGACUGGACGACAACUGACGGUGAGGCGCGAAAGCGUGGGGAGCAAACAGG